GCAAACGAAGUCGAUGCCCGUGAAUCUGAUAGACCUGCGUUUGCUUGUCUCUUUUUUUCUCUUGUUUUGCAACGCCACUGAACAAAAGGUAAUACGUAUAGUCUGCGGCUUCUACAAUCGCAACGUACCGACACCGCCCCUCGUGGUAAUCAACAAUGGCCUUCACGUCACCGGAACUACCAACAGCAAAGACGACAUCCAAACACGGGGCCAUAACGGCAUGUAACAGACUGCUCAUUGCUGCGGCGUCGAACAAAUCCGCGGACGAAAUAUAAUACGGAAAAAUUGCGUGUGAAUGACAAUGCAAACUUCCGGCAACAAAAAUUAAAAUCUGGCUAUGCUUCCUUGUGGCACUCUCAGCGU